rnacentral:rRNA from 1 species
CUCAGGAUGAACGCUAGCUACAGGCUUAACACAUGCAAGUCGAGGGGAAACGACAUCGAAAGCUUGCUUUUGAUGGGCGUCGACCGGCGCACGGGUGAGUAACGCGUAUCCAACCUGCCCAUCACUUGGGGAUAACCUUGCGAAAGUAAGACUAAUACCCAAUGAUAUCUCUAGAAGACAUCUGAAAGAGAUUAAAGAUUUAUCGGUGAUGGAUGGGGAUGCGUCUGAUUAGCUUGUUGGCGGGGUAACGGCUCACCAAGGCGACGAUCAGUAGGGGUUCUGAGAGGAAGGUCCCCCACAUUGGAACUGAGACACGGUCCAAACUCCUACGGGAGGCAGCAGUGAGGAAUAUUGGUCAAUGGACGAGAGUCUGAACCAGCCAAGUAGCGUGCAGGAUGACGGCCCUAUGGGUUGUAAACUGCUUUUAUAAGGGAAUAAAGUGAGUCUCGUGAGACUUUUUGCAUGUACCUUAUGAAUAAGGACCGGCUAAUUCCGUGCCAGCAGCCGCGGUAAUACGGAAGGUCCGGGCGUUAUCCGGAUUUAUUGGGUUUAAAGGGAGCGUAGGCCGGAGAUUAAGCGUGUUGUGAAAUGUAGAUGCUCAACAUCUGAACUGCAGCGCGAACUGGUUUCCUUGAGUACGCACAAAGUGGGCGGAAUUCGUGGUGUAGCGGUGAAAUGCUUAGAUAUCACGAAGAACUCCGAUUGCGAAGGCAGCUCACUGGAGCGCAACUGACGCUGAAGCUCGAAAGUGCGGGUAUCGAACAGGAUUAGAUACCCUGGUAGUCCGCACGGUAAACGAUGGAUGCCCGCUGUUGGUCUGAAUAGGUCAGCGGCCAAGCGAAAGCAUUAAGCAUCCCACCUGGGGAGUACGCCGGCAAC